GACGAACGCUGGCGGCGUGCCUAACACAUGCAAGUCGAACGGAAAGGCCCUGCUUUUGUGGGGUGCUCGAGUGGCGAACGGGUGAGUAACACGUGAGUAACCUGCCCUUGACUUUGGGAUAACUUCAGGAAACUGGGGCUAAUACCGGAUAGGAGCUCCUGCUGCAUGGUGGGGGUUGGAAAGUUUCGGCGGUUGGGGAUGGACUCGCGGCUUAUCAGCUUGUUGGUGGGGUAGUGGCUUACCAAGGCUUUGACGGGUAGCCGGCCUGAGAGGGUGACCGGCCACAUUGGGACUGAGGUACGGCCCCGACUCCUACGGGAGGCAGCAGUGGGGAAUAUUGCACAAUGGGCGGAAGCCUGAUGCAGCAACGCCGCGUGCGGGAUGACGGCCUUCGGGGUGUAAACCGCUUUCGCCUGUGACGAAGCGUGAGUGACGGUAAUGGGUAAAGAAGCACCGGCUAACUACGUG
rnacentral:rRNA from 1 species